UACAGAGGUCUCAAGCGUUUGUUCGGAUUCAUUGGGCGUAAAGGGCGCGUAGGCGGCCGAUCAAGUUAGAUGUGAAAGUCCUGGGCUUAACCUGGGGGACUGCAUUUGAUACUGAUUGGCUUGAAUUCGGGAGAGGAUAGCGGAAUUCCCAGUGUAGAGGUGAAAUUCGUAGAUAUUGGGAAGAACACCGGUGGCGAAGGCGGCUAUCUGGACCGACAUUGACGCUGAGGCGCGAAAGCGUGGGGAGCAAACAGG
rnacentral:rRNA from 1 species